rnacentral:rRNA from 1 species
UACGGGGGGGGCAAGCGUUGUUCGGAAUUACUGGGCGUAAAGGGCUCGUAGGUGGCCAACUAAGUCAGACGUGAAAUCCCUCGGCUUAACCGGGGAACUGCGUCUGAUACUGGAUGGCUUGAGUUUGGGAGAGGGAUGCGGAAUUCCAGGUGUAGCGGUGAAAUGCGUAGAUAUCGUGAGGAACACCAGAGGCGAAGGCGGCUACCUGGACAAUUGCUGACGCUCAGGCACGAAAGCGUGGGGAGCAAAAGGG